rnacentral:rRNA from 1 species
UACAGAGGUGGCAAGCGUUGUUCGGAAUUACUGGGCGUAAAGGGCGCGUAGGUGGCCUUCUUAGUCAGACGUGAAAUCCCCAGGCUUAACCUGGGAACUGCGUCUGAUACUGGAUGGCUUGAAUCCGGGAGAGGGAUGCAGAAUUCCAGGUGUAGCGGUGAAAUGCGUAGAUAUCUGGAGGAACACCGGUGGCGAAGGCGGCAUCCUGGACCGGCAUUGACGCUGAGGCGCGAAAGCCAGGGGAGCAAACGGG